rnacentral:lncRNA from 1 species
GAGAAGGGGGAAAGAUAAACGAAGAAUAGAGACAUAGCUUAUGGGGAGCUUAGCUCUUUAUUUUGUUGGCCUGUAUAUUUUUCAUUCCUGAAAAACUGGAAUUUGCAAGAGGUGCUGUGAUAACCCUUCUCCAGCCCUGUAAUGCUCAUAUAAUCUGAGAAAGAGAAGGAAGGUGUAUCCAUUCUGAGAGUGUAUGUUAAGAGCUGAAGGGGAACUACUUGAGAUGACUUAAGAAUCAUCCCAUGCAAAUACAUUGUUUUGCUCCAAUAAAAUACUCGAGAAGCUG